CCUACGGGUGGCAGCAGUGGGGAAUAUUGCACAAUGGGGGAAACCCUGAUGCAGCGACGCCGCGUGAGUGAAGAAGUAAUUCGUUACGUAAAGCUCUAUCAGCAGGGAAGAAAUACUGACCUUACGGUCAGCAGACGGUACCUGAGUAAGAAGCCCCGGCUAACUACGUGCCAGCAGCCGCGGGAAUACGUAGGGGGCAAGCGUUAUCCGGAUUUACUGGGGGUAAAGGGAGCGUAGGCGGUGCGACAAGUCUGGAGUGAAAUGCCGCAGCUUAACUGCGGAACUGCCUUGGAAACUGGCGAACUAGAGUGCGAGAGGGGUAAGCGGAAUGCCUAGUGUAGCGGUGAAAUGCGUAGAUAUUAGGAGGAACACCGGUGGCGAAGGCGGCUUACUGGAGCGUAACUGACGUUGAGGCUCGAAAGCGUGGGGAGCGAACAGGAUUAGAUACCCUUGUAGUC
rnacentral:rRNA from 1 species